rnacentral:rRNA from 1 species
UAAAAUAUUUAAAAUAAUAUUCUAGUUGAUAGUGGGAAUAGAAUAAGUUAUUUAUAAAAUCAGUCAUACAGAAUUACUUCUAAAACACUCAUAUGUAGACUUUAAUUAUUUUAGAAUACAGAAAUAGUUGAUAGAAUUAUUGAAAUAAUCCCUUGAAAUUGAAGUGCCAGCACUAGCGGUCAAACUUCUGAGGAUAAAUUAUCUAAUCAAACACUUUAGAUUUACACACUAAUUCGAAAUUUCUUGUUUAUUAAAGGUAAAAUUUAUAAAAUAAGUAAAGAAAUAACAGAUAAAAUUUAAAUACUUGAAAUAAAAGACUAGGAUUAGAUACCCUAUUAUUUUCAAUAACUUUAGAAUUACUUUUGUUAGUAGGAAAGUAAAAUAUAUAUGGCGGUUGGAAUGACCUAUUAGAGACGUAUGACUUUUAAAAGAUUUUACACUUAAAUCUUUCUACUUCGAAUAUCUCUUAAACACCUCCGUCUUAACGAUUCAUCCAUUAGGAUGAAAAUUUCUCUACUUGGGGUAAUUGGGUAAAUUUCUAAACAAAUAUAUCAUUAAUAUCCUUAGAAUAAGUCAGGUAAAGGUUUAGAGUGUGAUGUAGUUGCUUGUUGUAUGUCAAUUUUAGAAAAAAGGAUAGAUUGUAAUAUCAAAUCCGAAGAGAAUUUAAAAGUAAUUUAGCUUAAUUAGGGGUUUUGUGAAAGCCGGGAACUUCCAAUACACAAAUUGCCCGUCACCCAGACCAAAAAGGUCUGGUAAGUCGUAACAAAGUUAGUCUACCGGAA